GGUUGGGAGUCCCUGCUUUGACUCUGUUUGCAAACUCUUGUUUCAUUGUUUAAGCGAUUAAAUCUCUCGAGUAGACGCUGUCUCUUUAGAUGCGAGGGCAAAAUAGCACUUUAUGGACUUCCACAGAGGACAUCAUGUUUAAUACGGUUCCGGAAAAAUCCAGUCAGAAGUUGUUCACGGAGUUUUCACAAUAACUGCUUCUCAUGAACCGAAGCUGGAUUUGCACGACGUCUCCUCUUGAAAGUUGGAUUACUGUGCACUUCUGGAUCACAGGCUAUUCGCAGCUGGACACAUCCUUCUACACUGUAUGCAAACAUGCAACAUCAUUACACACAGUACAAGGAGUCAGACUGGCAUAUGAGGAGCAAAGGAACCCAGGCAGUAGCAUCGUUUCACAAUGUUUCCAUCACCAUCAUCAGUGGAUGCCUUUGCCGUCCGUAGCCUGAGAUUUCAGAUUUGCAGCAAAAAUUUUUUGAUUUUCUCAUUUAUUGGAAUGCUGUGCAGGUAUUUGUACCUUGCAGCCAUCCAUUACAAUGUCACCAAGCCGUAACAAAAGCAGGAGAGGGAAAGUACAAGGCUAUGUUCCCAAAACACACAAGUGACAUACCUUAUGUGGAGGAUGUGAUCAGGCUUGUGUUUGAUGAGGUAUUUGAAGAUAAGCUGAAGGAAACCCUGAUUCCAAUGGACCUGGCAUCACAGUUUGAGAGACCUUCAAAGGAGGACGUGAUUGCAUGCCAUCUUCAGUGCAGGGGUCGUCGAAAGCCAAAAUUGUGACCGAUCUGAUCAGGAAGCUCCAAGCGUAUCUGGAGAACAACACACGACAGGAUGAUAACCUUAUAGUGUCGUCUUAAAUAGCACCAGCUGACAAAGCUUUGAUAUGCCAUUUAUCUGAAUAGAUAGCUGUAAGAAAUGAAUUAAACAAUUUU